rnacentral:rRNA from 1 species
UACGGAGGAUCCAAGCGUUAUCCGGAAUCAUUGGGCUUAAAGGGCGCGUAGGCGGGUGGACAAGUCAGGGGUGAAAGCCCACGGCUCAACCGUGGAAGUGCCUUUGAUACUGUCCGUCUGGAGGGAGGUAGGGGCGUGCGGAACUUCCGGUGGAGCGGUGAAAUGCGUAGAUAUCGGAAGGAACACCGGUGGCGAAAGCGGCGCGCUGGAUUUCUUCUGACGCUGAGGCGCGAAAGCUAGGGGAGCAAACGGG